AUGCGCAUUUUGCUCCGCAACUUGCUUUGUUUACCUGCAGGCGAGUCAUCAUCGUUUGACACGGCGUUCAAAGACCAGUUGAUCAAGGAGCUUUGGCCUACCUUGCGGACCAUUGCGGCCACUGGCCUUGUGAUCUACUACGGUAAUGGUCUGGCUGACAGACUGGUUAAGCAGGGCACAUUCGACCGAUUGGAUGACGUGAAUGACGUGUCCAUGAAACCAACCACGAGAUUCAGUCAUGUCAAGGGAGUCGACGAAGCCAAGGCUGAGCUCGAGGACAUUGUUUAGUACCUGAAAAAUCCCAAGUAUUUCACGCGCCUUGGUGGCAAGCUUCCAAAGGGCGUUCUGCUUUCUGGCCCACCAGGCACAGGGAAGACCAUGUUGGCGAGGGCUGUGGCCGGGGAAGCCGGCGUCCCGUUCUUCGCGUGCAGCGGCAGCGAAUUCGACGAGAAGUAUGUGGGUGUUGGGGCUCAAAGAGUGAGAGAACUCUUCAGUGCAGCAAAAAGGUGAUCCCCUUGCAUAAUAUUCAUCGAUGAGAUCGACGCCAUUGCCGGUAGCUGGAACUCAGACAUUUCAGAGUCGCGGAGCCAGACCCUGAACCAGCUGCUUGUUGAGAUGGAUGGCUUCAAGCAAAAUGACGGGAUCAUUGUUCUCGGGGCGACCAACUUCCCCCAAUCGCUGGACAAGGCUGCUAAUAGACCUGGGCAUUUUGACCGUCAUGUCCAGGUUCCUAGUCCAGAUGUCGAGGGUCGACGACAGAUCCUCAAGGCUUGUAUGGCAAAGGUCAAAGCCAAGGGUGUGAAUCUGAUGACCAUUGAGAGGGGGACACCGGGAUUCUCAGGUGCAGACCUUACAAAUUUGGUGAAUGACGCUGCCCUGAAGGCUGCCAAGGAUAAGGCAGAAGCUGUUACAAUGGAUCACAUUGAAUAUGCCAAGGACAAGAUCAUGAUGGGCAGCGAGCGAAAAUCGGCAGUGUUACCUGAUAAUUGCAGGCAGAUGACUGCGUACCAUGAGGGAGGGAGGGCCCUUGUUGCUAUCCACACGGACGGUGCUCACACAAUCCACAAGGCUACCAUUGUCCCGAGGGGGAACACUCUCGGCAUGGUGACGCAGUUGCCGGAGGAAGAAGAUGUACAAAGUCUCAAGAAGAAGAUGCUGGCCAAAUUGGACAUACUCAUGGGAGGCAGGGUGGCUGAGGAGCUUAUAUUUGGAGAGAGCGAGGUGAGCUCUGGCGCCGUGUCUGAUCUAAGCGAGGCGACUAAACUGGCCAAAGAUAUGGUCACCAAGUAUGGUAUGAGCGAGCUGGUCGGUCUUGUUUCCUGCGGCAACGACAGUGAUGGUGCGACUGCGAGUGGGCAUACGAUGGCUCUGGCCGAUGAGGAGGUGAGAGAAUUGCUUGGCAAGGCUUACAAGAACGCGAAGAAGAUAGUCACGGCGCAUAGCAAGGAGCUUCAUGUGCUAGCCAAUGCCCUUCUCGAGCACGGAACUCUCACCGGAGACCAGAUAAAUGAACUUGUAUUGUCAACUAAUUAAAUGAGAAAACAACAGAGACGCAAAACAGUUUUGUCCUAA
rnacentral:rRNA from 1 species